rnacentral:rRNA from 1 species
AACGAACGCUGGCGGCAGGCCUAACACAUGCAAGUCGAACGGACCGUUCGGGGUUAGGGGCGGACGGGGGGGUAACACGGGGGAAUUUGCCCUUGUGUACGGAAUACUUCAGGGAGACUUGUGUUAAUACCGCAUGGGCCCUUAGGGGGAAAGAGUUAUCGCGGUAGGAUGGGGCCGCGUUGGAUUAGGUGGUUGGUGGGGUAAUGGCAUAGCAAGCGCUCGAUGCAUAGCUGGUGUGAGAGGAUGGUCAGCCCCAAUGGGAAUGCGACACGGCCCAGACUCGUACGGGAGGGAGCAGUGGGGUAUCUUAGGCACUGGGGGCAGACCUGACGAAGCCAUGCCGGGUGAGUGAUGAAGGGCUUAGGGAUCUAAAGUUCUCUCAGCCGGGACGAUAAUGACGGUACCAGGAGAAGAAGCACCGGCUAACUACGUG